CAAUGGGUGAUUAUCUCGAGGGGAAUGAGAUCAACCUUGAGAAAAGGACUGAGCCUGUCCUGCCAGCUGGACCCCCAGACCUAGUUGGCCAGCAGAAUACUCAAGGCCAAGAAGAACCAGCCAUCAUCAAGGUCAGGGGUGAGUGAGUGUCUGGGCCGGGGUGACUGACUCCUAGGGGUUCAGUAAGGCUUCAGGCUAAGCGUGGCCUUGGGGAGUUGGACAGCUGGCACUGGGAUCCCAGCUCCACUACUGAGCAGUCCUGUGACUGGGGUGACUCUCUUCAGCUUCCUGAGACUCCGUUUCCUCCUCUGUGAAAUAGGUGAUACUAAAUGAUCGCUCAUGGGGCAGGGACAAAUGGGGUACUGGUG